AUGGCCUUCUUCUUGAGGCCCUUGGGCGGCGGAGGAGAGUGGUCGGAGGAUGAGGCAGAGCGGCGUCGCCGGCAUGCGCACCGGGAGACGAGGGCAAGGCCGAGGACGCAGACUAGCGCGCACAGGAGCGACGCCAGGAUAACCACCAUGUCCGAGUUCACCGCCAUCACCGGCGCCGUCUGCUCCUGCUGCUGA
rnacentral:rRNA from 1 species